rnacentral:rRNA from 1 species
UACGUAGGGUGCGAGCGUUAAUCGGAAUUACUGGGCGUAAAGGGUGCGCAGGCGGCGUCGCAAGUCAGGCGUGAAAUCCCCGGGCUUAACCUGGGAACUGCACUUGAAACUACGAUGCUGGAGUAUGGCAGAGGGAGGUGGAAUUCCACGUGUAGCGGUGAAAUGCGUAGAGAUGUGGAGGAACACCGAUGGCGAAGGCAGGUCUCUGGGCAUUAACUGACGCUGAGGAGCGAAAGCCAGGGGAGCAAACGGG